rnacentral:tRNA from 1 species
GCUGUGGUUCAGGAGUAGAGCAUCUGCUUUGCAUACAGAAGGUUCCAGGUUCAAUCCUUGGUUUCUGCA